rnacentral:rRNA from 1 species
AGGAUGAACGCUAGCGGCAGGCCUAAUACAUGCAAGCUGAACGGUAAAUAUUGUAGCAAUACAAUAUGAGAGUAGCGUAAGGGUGCGUAACACGUAUGCAAUCUGCCCUGUACAGGAGAAUAGCUCGGCGAAAGCCGGAUUAAUGCUCCGUAAUAUUAUGGUGUGGCAUCACAUUAUAAUUAAAGUUGCAAGAUGGUACAGGAUGAGCAUGCGUCUGAUUAGCUAGUUGGUAGUGUAACGGACUACCAAGGCGAUGAUCAGUAGGGGAACUGAGAGGUUGAUCCCCACACUGGCACUGAGA